AGAACGAACGCUGGCGGCAGGCUUAACACAUGCAAGUCGAACGCUCCGCAAGGGGAGUGGCAGACGGGUGAGUAACGCGUGGGAACAUACCCCUCGGUUCGGAAUAACUCAGGGAAACUUGAGCUAAUACCGGAUACGGUCGAGAGGCGAAAGAUUUAUCGCCGAGGGAUUGGCCCGCGUCCGAUUAGCUAGUUGGUGAGGUAAUGGCUCACCAAGGCGACGAUCGGUAGCUGGUCUGAGAGGAUGAUCAGCCACAUUGGGACUGAGACACGGCCCAAACUCCUACGGGAGGCAGCAGUGGGGAAUAUUGGACAAUGGCGAAAGCCUGAUCCAGCCAUGCCGCGUGAGUGAUGACGGCCUUAGGGUUGUAAAGCUCUUUCGCUAGGGACGAUAAUGACGGUACCUAGACAAGAGCCCCGGCUAACUUCGUGCCAGCAGCCGC
rnacentral:rRNA from 1 species